AAUCAACGCUGGCGGCGUGCCUCAGACAUGCAAGUCGAACGCGAAAGUCCCCUUCGGGGGACAAGUAGAGUGGCGCACGGGUGAGUAACACGUAGGUAAUCUACCUUCGGAUGGGGAAUAACGAUCGGAAACGGUUGCUAAUACCGCAUAAUGCAGCGGCACCUAAUGGUGACAGUUGUUAAAGCGGGGGAUCGAAAGACCUCGCGUCUGAAGAGGAGCCUGCGGCGGAUAGCUAGUUGGUAAGGUAACGGCUUACCAAGGCGACGAUCCGUAGCCGGCCUGAGAGGGCGGUCGGCCACACUGACACUGACAUACGGGUC
rnacentral:rRNA from 1 species